GUCGUAACAAGGUUUCCGUAGGUGAACCUGCGGAAGGAUCAUUAAUGAAACAAAUUCAGUCUGUGGCCAUCGUUUAGCCCUGUGUCGUCACGGGACACCGCGGCGCGCCAUCCGACGUGGAAGGCCCCCCUCGGAUUCAUUAAGAAAACACCUGGUCCAACUCCCUCACUCAGGGACGCUGUGUCUAGAGGGCUGCCUACCAGAGCCCUCCCCGGGUACCGAGGUGAGCUUGCAGAGUCAAGUGGGGAUCAGUUCACGGCGCGCUCCAUAAGAUUAAAGCGGUCCUGUGGUCGCGAAUUUCAUUACCAUCCCUUCGGUGCACAUGUCUCCUGUUGCUUCCGUGCGUCUGCUGCCCAUUUCAAUGGGUGCCUGAAAAGCCUUGGUCCGCCAAGGGCGCACGGGGACGAAAACACUACUCUGGUUUUUGUUUUUACUGUCUGAGUGGUAACCACAUCAUAACAAAUCAAAACUUUCAACAACGGAUCUCUUGGUUCUCGCAUCGAUGAAGAACGCAGCGAAAUGCGAUAAGUAGUGUGAAUUGCAGAAUUCAGUGAAUCAUCGAAUCUUUGAACGCACAUUGCGCCUCCUGGUAUUCCGGGAGGCAUGCCUGUUCGAGCGUCAUUAGAAGCAUACUCAAGCAUUGCUGCUUGGUCGUGGAGGAAGAUAGUUACUGUCCCCUCUGGAAUCUCUCAGUAGACAACCUCCGUGAGCGUAGAUGUAAUAUAAUUGUGUAUUCGUUUAUAGACUCAUGGGUCCUUCGUGCUGUGUAGAGCUCCCCCCAGCAAGUACGUAGUACUUCAAAGCUGACCUCGGAUCAGGUAGG
rnacentral:rRNA from 1 species